GUUGCGUAUGAAGAAUAACAACUGUGUUUCGUGGUUUUUGUUUGGUUACAGCAAAAAUAGCGCACGCUUUUCGAGGAAACUGAAAAAUACAGAACUAAAAAUCACCUUUCAUCCCAACACCUGAAGAGAUGCGCAGGUCCAGGAGAAAACGUGGGAGACUUUUCACUACAGGAGGCCGAUCGGUUCUUGGUCCAUAAUGGGUAUAUGGUCCCUGUGCAAAGAAAUGGCCAUACCAGUAUCCUUCACAUGGCACCAAGGAUGGGCCUGGAAGUUGAAGACAAUGUGGGCUUGUUGAUGGAGGUGGAUACAGUUAGCAGGAAAGAGGUUGUCCAGCCAUUUGAGGACAUCUCCAGAGUUCCUAGAGCCAAGAGUCACAAGAGAAAUACCUCAUCUCUCCCCCAGUCCUCCAUAAUUGUAUUCAUGCCUUCAUUUUUAACAGCUUUAUUGAGGUGUAUUUCACAUGUCAAUUUACCCAUUUAGCAUAUACAAUUCAUAAACACAUGAAUUAUCACUACAGUAAAUUUUAGAAAGUUUUUAUCACAUUAGAAAGAAAUCCCAUACCCGUUAGCUACUAUCUCUCUAUCCACUCCCUGCCCCUUCCUCAGCCCUAAGCAACCACUGAUCUACUUUUUGUCUAUAGAUUUCCCUGCUUAGGACACUUCAUAUGAAUGAAAUCAUAUAAUAUGUGUCUUUUAUGACUGGCUUCUUUCACUUAGCAUCAUGUUUUCAACACUUAUGCAUGAUGAAGCCUUUAUUGGUAUUUUAUUCUUUUCUUACAGCUGACUAAUAUUCUAUUGUAUAGAUAUGACAUUUUUAACCAUUUGUCUUUUGAUGGACAUUUGGAUUAUUUCUGCAUUUUGGCAAUUAGGAAUAAUGCUGCUAUAAACACUGUUUGCAAGUUUUCGUGUGGACAUACAUUUUCAUUUUUCUUG